AUUGACGGUAACAAUGGUGAUGAU
rnacentral:siRNA from 1 species